CACUCUGAUUUUUUUAAAUUCUAUUCUUUAAAAAAAAAAAAAUGCUAAUCUCCAUCCGUUACUUUGGUUGUCUCAACUGGGGGCGAUUUUGCCUCUCAGAGAUAUUUGGCAAAGUCUAUGAGCACUUUGGAUGGUCACAAGGAUGGGCAGAGCUACCGGUAUCUAGGGGAUGAGGGCUUGGAGAUGCUGCUAACCACUCACCGUGCAGAGGACAGCCCCCCAUAACCAAGAAUUAUGCCGUCUGAACUGUCAGCAGUGUUGACAUGAAGAAACUAGACUGAUACUGGGUCAAAAGCUGCAACUGGAAAAACACUGCCCUGCAAAUUCUAGGCGGCAGGAAGGAGUCACGAGCACCCACAACCCUGGCCACCAGCCAGCAGGGAGGGCUGACUGCAGGGAGGACUGGGAAACUGUCUUGCUCUGGGGGCUAUCGCUGCAGGCACAAGGCAGCAGAUCGGGACAAGAGCCUGAGAGCUGGGCAGAGACCGUGAUGCGUGGCCUGGCAGCCUGGCCCUCCAGGAAACAGGGUAUGGACUGGGGUAACUCUGGUUGUCAGACAGCAGGCCUCCUCGGAGUCCCCCGAGCACUGUUCCAGGCCAGGCAGCACUGACCUGCACCAGGACAGUAAUUGAUCAGGAGCUGCUGACAUGGCUACAUGGGAUGAACUGAAUGGUCUGCUUGGGGAUCUACAAAAUAAAGGAAACAAAACCAGAGGAAGACAUCAGCUUAAGCCAAAGUGUUGUCAAGAAAGUCAAAACAUUAGAAAAUUCCACGUGCCCAAUAUGUAUACGCACUCUUAUGGAAUCACCACCUAGAUCAAGACAGAAAACAUUUCGAGCACUGCACAGUGCUCUUCAAAGAGGAACCCCCCAACACACAAGCUCACCAUUCAGCUGACCUCUGUCACUUUGGAUUCAUUUCGCCUGUUGACAUUCAGGAAAAUGGAAUGCUGUAGUGGAUUUAUAUAUAAUUUCCAGCAACAGGAGGGAAAUAAUGGCCCCAAGACCCCACAGAGACUUAGGACUUGGAUACCUCACCAUGGCAAGAAGAACUGAAAAAUUUCUUAAGUUAAAAA